AAAUCUGUGGUCUAUGAUGAAUUUUAUUGUCUGAGUUAAUGGUGAAGUAGAUCUUAUUCGUCACUACCCCUGAGACCACAAACUA